rnacentral:lncRNA from 1 species
GUGGUUCCUGUAGAACCACGAGUGUUAUUUGGAGUUGACAUUUCUUGGAAAUAGAAAAGGCCCAUCCUUUUUGCUGAGAAACAUAAAUUAGUCAGUUGAACUGUAUUUUUAUAUUAUUGUAGAUAUGACACAGACCGAACAUUACUCAAUUAUUGGGCAAUUUGUAUCUUAUCGUAAAAAGGACCCAAUCCUCAAAAAGUUGUUUAGCGACGGAUUGGCUACGGAAUAAUAGUUUCGUUGCCAAAAAAGCCAAAAAAUAGUUAGCAUAUAAUAUAGCGACGAAAUCGAAAAAUCGUUGCUAAAUAUUGGCGCCCUCAAUAUAGCUACAGAUUUAGCGACAAAACCUGAGCGACAAAAUUUAUUUACCUACAACGACGGAAUUAGCAACGAAAUGUCCGUCGCUAUGUUUAAUUUCUUUAUCAAAAUUUUUUUAAGCUCCUUGCUACUGAAAUUUCCGUCGAUAAUGUUAUAUCUAGUAAACAAUAAUAUCAUUAUUAGCGACGGAAAUAAGCCGUAGCUAAUUCCGUUGUUGAAUACCACUUAAUUAUUUAUCCUAGGGCACAAAAUUUGUAAAAGUUCGGUGUCUUCUUCUUCUAACAGGGUAGAACGCUGGGAGCAAAUAUAGUCGGCUGGGAGCAAAAUCAAUGGAAAACGCACUUGAGAGCAAGAACAAGGGCAAAAAUUAGUAGCCAACGUGAAUUUAAGGUGUGUAGAUGGCUUUAAUUUGUUUCUUCUUCUAUUUCUUAUUAAUCAGUAGCUUGAUGGUGGUGCUAAUGACUACGAAUACUAUGUUCAUUACACUGAAUGUGAGUGAACAUUUUCAAAUUAAUUGUUUUCUUUUUAUUUUAUUUGCAUCAAUUUGGAGUAGCUAGGGCUUGGAGCUUUAUCAGAUUUUAAUUGUAAAAGGAGGC